AUUGAACGCUGGCGGCAGGCCUAACACAUGCAAGUCGAACGAGUGGCGGACGGGUGAGUAAUGUCUGGGAAACUGCCCGACGGAGGGGGAUAACUACUGGAAACGGUAGCUAAUACCGCAUACCAUCGGAUGUGCCCAGAUGGGAUUAGCUAGUAGGUGGGGUAACGGCUCACCUAGGCGACGAUCCCUAGCUGGUCUGAGAGGAUGACCUGCGCCACUGGAGAUGAGGCACGGUCCAGACUCCUACGGGAGACGGCAGUGAGUAAUAUUGCACGAUGGGCGCGAGCCUGAUGCAGCCAUGCCGCAUGUAUGAAGCAGGCCUUCGGGUUGUGAAGUACUUUCAGCGGGGGGGCGUUACUCGCAGAAGAAGCACCGGCUAACUCCGUGCCAGCAGCCGCGGUAAUAC
rnacentral:rRNA from 1 species